AUGGAAUGUAACUGGAUAGUUCCUUUUAUUCUGUUGGUAACUUCAGGUGUCUACUCACAGGUUCAGCUCCAGCAGUCUGGUGCUGAGCUGGCAAGGCCUGGGGCUUCAGUGAAGAUGUCCUGCAAGGCUUCUGGCUACACCUUUACCACCUACUGGAUGCACUGGGUAAAACAGAGGCCUGGACAGGGUCUGGAAUGGAUUGGCGCUAUUUAUCCUGGAAAUAGUGAUACUAGCUACAACCAGAAGUUCAAGGGCAAGGCCAAACUGACUGCAGACACAUCUGCCAGCACUGCCUACAUGGAGCUCAGCAGCCUGAUAAAUGAGGACUCUGCGGUGUAUUACUGUACAAUACACAGUGUUGUGACCACAUCCUGA